GCCUCGCGGCCCCGCUGCUCCGGCGCGACCGCCGCGUCUGCACCGCGGUGAUCAGUUUGAAACACCCGCUUUUUUCUUUCCCCGUUUCCUCUCUACUUCUCGAUUCUGUCCUUGUUUGGGCAUCGGUGGGGGGGCGGGCAGCAUUCUAGGACCCGCGGCGUUGGUGGCUCCUCUCCAUGGGGCUAACUCCAGAGGUAGGACCCCGGCAGGGAGAGAAAGCAGGAUAAAAAUGAGAACUAGAAUUUCAUUCCCCUCGAAGUCGAAGGACCCACUCGCGUAACUCCUCUUUGGGACACUCGCUCGCCUCUCAGCACCAGAGGAAGGGCCGGGAGAGCGCGCAGCUCCGCUUCGGAGCCCGUGCCGCGGAGGCUGGCUGGCUCGCACCGACGCAGGACACCACCCUCGGGAACCGGCUAGGGGUCGGAGGAAGCCCGCCCUGGGGCCGCGGGGCCGCGCCGGACGGACCUUUGACCCAAGCCCUGUUCGUUUUCAAAGAAGGAGGGCACUUAUCCGAAAUUUGCAUUCGCGUGGCCGUUCAGGGCCCUUCCCUUUAAGCGAAGCUCCACCCGAAAUUGCCAAGUGAAUUUGGUAGAUUUGGGACCCUAAGUUGGAAACCGAGAUAUGAAAGUGUCAAUCUUUACUUUUCACAGAGGACACCUAUUUGGGAAAUUCACAGACCCUCGAACCCCAUCUACGAAUCCCCAGUUAAUCACUUCUACUUGUAGAGAAGAGAAAAUGCAACAACCCUAAGGAAGACAAUUUCAAAGCUAAGCAAAGGAAAAUUGAAGAGCAUCUUUUGUGGACUCUUUCUGCCAUAUACAAAACCCGUUCUUUUUCUUGUCACUGGCCCUCCACAGACACGGUAAUCAGCAAGAGAACUGGGAAGUCAAUGCAUGCUGCAAAGUACAUUCCAAAGUUGAAUAUAAAUCAUUGUUCUGCUUUACUUGGUGGCCGGUUUUUAAACCAAACAUCUGUUUGGAAGAGACAGUGCUCACUCUGCAGUCCAGUUAUCCCUUACCUG